AGCAGCCGCGGUAAUUCCAGCUCCAAUAGCGUAUAUUAAAGUUGUUGCAGUUAAAAAGCUCGUAGUUGAAUUUCGGGGUUAGUAGGUUGGUCAUGCCUCUGGUAUGUACUGGUCUCACUGAUUCCUCCUUCCUGAUGAGCCGUAAUGCCAUUAAUUUGGUGUUGCGGGGAAUUUGGACUGUUACUUUGAAAAAAUUAGAGUGUUUAAAGCAAGCUAACGCUUGAAUACAUUAGCAUGGAAUAAUGAAAUAGGACGUUUGAUUCUAUUUUGUUGGUUUCUAGGAUCGACGUAAUGAUUAAUAGGGAUAGUUGGGGGCAUUAGUAUUCAAUUGUCAGAGGUGAAAUUCUUGGAUUUAUUGAAGACUAACUGCUGCGAAAGCAUUUGCCAAGGAUGUUUUCAUUAAUCAAGAACGAAAGUUAGGGGAUCGAAGACGAUCAGAUACCGUCGUAGUCUUAACCAUAAACUAUAGCCGACUAGGGAUCGGAUGAUGUUAAUUUUUAAUGACUCAUUCGGUG
rnacentral:rRNA from 1 species